rnacentral:lncRNA from 1 species
GCUGCCCACUGCGGCCUGACUUUUAGCUAAAGAGGCUUCGCUUUCCAACCGCCCUGUCGAGUCUAAUUUGGUGGCAUUAUGUGAAGGGGUGGGGCGCUCCUGACAGGAAGGGUUAAAUGAGAUUACAAGCCCGGCAGGCUGUCAGCAGCCACCGCUGGCUGGGAUGGCAAAUUGCAAUUUAAUGGUCAGCUUUAUCUGUACGGUAUCAGUGGAAAUCGGCUGUUUUCAGCAACUUAAUUGGCACUGUUUGCAGGAGUUUUUUGAGGAGGUAGGAGAGUUGACUGGAUCUUAAUGUUGAAUAAUUUAGAAAGCAAAACUGGCAGAAGGCUGGUGGAAACCGGCGGCAGCGGGUCUUGUUUUUCUGAAGCGCAGAGAGCUUAUGAAUGGGCCAGAUACUGAAUUCUGCUGUAGUAACCAGAACUUUCUAAAAAUACUCCGAGGGUCUGAUAUACUGAGGCUUUAUUUAUAGGAAAAUAAACAAAGAGUGGCAAUUGCUUUUCCGAUCUGUGUGUGCAUCUGACUGUCGCGGGCAUGAGAAUGCAGGAAGAUGCGGCAGCCGAGGAUGUGCACCGAUGGAUGAGUGCGGAGGGGAGGCCUCAGGCUGGAGGGACAGGUGUCCCAGAGAACACCCCUGGUACCAAGCCGAUGGCAGGACUGUGUGAGCACAUGUAUAGGGGAAACUCAUGUUUUAUGCACAUGUACAAAUAAAUAUAUGUGCCCAUGAAUGUGGGUGAGUCUAUUCCAGCAUGUGAACACAUGGGAGGUAUAAUGUGUUCAUGUGUGCAGCUUUGGAUAUGUAUGUAUACAUGUGUAACUGUGAGUGUGUAUGCCCACAUUAAUGAGUGUGCAUGGAUGUGUGUGUGUGUGUGUGUGUUAAAGGGUAAGUAUGUGUGCUCAUAUGUGAUGUAUGCACAUCUGUGCAUUUGGACAUGUGUGUAAACAUGUGUAUAUGAGUUUUGGAAGUCAGUACAUAAGUUUGAUGUGUGUUUCUGUGCCUCUGUGUGUACAUGUGUGUGAGUCAUGUGUAUGCAUGUAUAUGAGGAGUCUCUGCACACAAAGUAUAGAUGAGUAUGUAUGUGUUAGAUACAUGUAACCAUGAUAUGUGUACACAUACAUAAGCAUGUGUUAUAAGUGGGUAUAACUAUAUACAUAUGUGGUGUGAAGUGUGUGGUAUAUGUUGCAUAUGUAUAUAUGACAGUGUGUGGGUAUGUGUCUGAUUGUGAUGUAUGUAUAUAUUUUAUGUACAUGUAUGUGAAAAUUGAGGGAAUAUACAUGUUGGGUUGAUGUAUGUGACAUGUAUUAUAUGUGAAUGUGAAAGUGUGUGUAUGUGGG